GGUUCGGCAGUGCAGUGACGCCACUGAGCAGCCGCUAAGGAGCGACAGCGCCAGGCAAACAGGUCGGUCAGUCGGUCGGUCGGCGGCGCCAAUGCGAUCGUGAGCAGCACGAGACUUUAGCCCGAGAAGGUUGAUGGGAGCUCGCCUUGCCGGUCGAUAGGCGCAGUGAAGGAAGCUUUUCCUCAAUCUUGCCCACAGGGAAUUAAUAAACCUGUUCAGGCAGCCUUCUUCUCAGCCCCGUGCCAUUGAACCCGUUUUUGCAAAGAUGAACUUCAUAGCAAUCAGAAUGAAGCCGUUCAAUCGGUGUAAUUGACUGAGAGUAGAAAUGUGGUUUGGAAGAAAACCACCACCUGAGGAAAAGAAAAACCGGUCUAUUGCUUGAAGGCAAAUCCGCAAUUGGACGCCGCGCGCUAAGAUGAUGAAAAUCAACGCUCUACACAGCAGCCACGCAAUGACGUGUGCAAUAAUUGAACUGGGUGCUUUUAAUUCUCUAUUUUAAGCCAUACCCAACGGUAACAUCCCCUGCAGAAGUGCGGCAGAAGGCCACCGUGACCACGGGCGUCUCCGCUGCAUCCCCUCUACGGCUGUCUAGACAGAUCGUUUCUGGCACGGGGGCCUCGAAGUGAGAGCGAAUAAUGCCGGCCGGCCGGCGAAGCAGCCGGUUCUACAUCGAUCAGUGCUACACGCUCGUGCGCCUCUCGCACCUUGCAAUAAAGCGAUGCAUCGAAACAGUUCGAUCAAUGAUUAAUAUUGUCUUCUUUUUUUAAAUUCUAUCCCGUAUUAUAUUAAAAUGUUUUGCAACAUGUGUUGUAGCUAGAUCAUUGCUUGAAAUUGAGCAAUAUUAAAUCUAACCUGCUGCAAAAUUAACACUGUAAUCGACUAGCUCAAAAGUAGAUCCGAUCAAAUUGGCAAAUAUCUGCUAAUUGCCUAUCUCAACAUCACUUUAACCAUAUUUACACCUUUCAAAA